CCACAUGCAUCUCUUUGUCCUAACAUUUCUUUUUAUUGUAUAAUCUUUAGUUUCAUCUUCCCUCGCAGGUUCUGAAGUUGACUAUGUGCUUCAGCCAACACGUGUUUGUUUGUUCUUUAUCUUAACAGGUAUAUCUUCUGGACUUGUGCGUACUGCAAUUAGGAGAUAUAAAAGUCAACACAUACAUAAGAGUCCCUAAAAAGAAUUUGAAGCCUCUGGGAAAUUGAAAUAUUCAACUAUGUAUAAUCAAUAUUAUUGGUUACCUAUUGUCAUUUAGUUGGCUCCAGAAUUCAUAUCAUUGUUAAUAUAUAUAAUGUUUGGAUAAUCAUUACUAUAGUAAAUACAUGUUGAUGGUUCAAAAUGAAUAGCCCCAUCCAAUUUUUCAAAGAUCUCGGUGUUUUACUAUGCAGUUUCUGGUCUGAACGAGUGGUGGAUAUUCAGAACUUGUGCAAGUCGCAACUGAGAGAAUAGAAUGUUGUCAGUUUACAGAAAUGUUCAAGACUUCAAGUCUCUGUGUUUGUACUUCCUAGCAUGGUGAUGUCCCUUCUGCUGGUGUUUAUUAUGAUGAUUCAUAUAGUAAGUUGAUGCCAGAUGCAAAAAAUAAAAUAGUACACAGAUAUAGGUUGCGUCUGCAUUUUUAUUAAUAAACUCAUGUUGAAAAGGUUUUGUAUUCACAUUAUUAAUUAGCCCCACAUCUAUAUGUAAAUCAGUGUCUUGGUAAGUCAUAUUUGUGAGCAUGUAUCACAAUACCUAAUUUAGCCUGGUGCGAAUUAUUUUCUUUUAACUACAAUAUUUUUGAUCUGUUGAAAUCUUGCGUCUACUUUUAUUUUGUGGAGAACUCAGAUCUUUCUUAGCAAAUGAAAGAUGUGUGGUAUUUCAUUACAUGAUUUUUUUUCCCAAGGGGGUACCUCAUGUCUUGCUUAGUAUGCUUUUGAGGUUUAUUUUACUCAAUCGACAUAUAGCAUUUUUUCAUAAGAAAACAAGGAUAAAAAGUGAUUGUCAGGUGUAGGCUAGUACUCUCCUUUUUUUGGCUCCUCCAUAACUUUCUGCUUUGUUGAUAUUCUCUAUCAUAGGUUACUAAUCUCAUUCCUUUGUUGUUCUAGGCUGCCAAGAUAUAUUCAAGAUGCACGGACAUUGAUUGCAAGGUCAAGAAUGGCAAUUUUACUAGAUAAUUAGAAUGUCAUUUUGAAGUGUAAUGUUUCAAACAGUAAGCUAACUGAAUGAUCAAGAAUUAGGCUAGUACUAGAUGGUUUCAGAUAUGUAAUGCUUGUAUCGUGUUCUUUGUAAUGCAAUACAUCAUGUUUAAUAUAUUAUGGGGAUUCCUGCUUAUUAUAUUGU
rnacentral:lncRNA from 1 species